rnacentral:lncRNA from 1 species
CGAAAGAGUAGAAUGAUUUAGGAUGAAUAAGGAGAUGAUUAUGUGAUUAGAUGACUAGUGAGGAAUCAUUAUGAAAGAGUAGAGUGAUUAAUUGGAUAGAACUGUCUAAUCUUAUUAAGAGAUGGGUUUACAACUUAUAUAGGAGAAGCACUAGGGUUUUCACGUAAAGAAUAAGGCACUAGUCUAAGCAUGUGGAGUCAACACUAAUGGAAGAAGCUCUUUUGAAAUGGACGGACCAAGGUGUUCAC